AUUGAACGCUAGCGGGAUGCCUUACACAUGCAAGUCGAACGGAGUGGCGAACGGGUGAGUAAUGUAUCGGAACGUGCACAGUAGCGGGGGAUAACUACGAGAAAGAGUACCUAAUACCGCAUACUAUAGGAGCGGCCGAUAUCGGAUUAGCUAGAUGGUGGGGUAACGGCUCACCAAGGCGAAGAUCCGUAGCUGGUUUGAGAGGACGACCAGCCACACUGGGACUGAGACACGGCCCAGACUCCUACGGGAGGCAGCAGUGGGGAAUUUUGGACAAUGGGGGAAACCCUGAUCCAGCCAUCCCGCGUGUACGAUGAAGGCCUUCGGGUUGUAAAGCACUUUUGGCAGGAAAGCGGUACCUGCAGAAUAAGCACCGGCUAACUACGUGCCAGCAGCCGCGGUAAUUC
rnacentral:rRNA from 1 species